AUGAGUACGGGUACAGCCACGUGUUCCCCACGCUCCACGGGCUGGUGCAGGAUGCGCUCACCGACGCCCACGCGCUGGGCACCCCUUACGGCCGGCAGCGCCGUGAGGCCGUCGCCGUUGGCCUCCCGUACAUCCAGGACAAAAUCGCGCUGGAGGUGGCGAACAAAACACGCCUCAAGGACCGCUCCGCGCAGAUGGAUCGCCGUACCGCCCAGGCCAUCUACCUGUUCGACAGCAGCGUGCUCGGCAUUGCAGCCGAUGCCAUAG
rnacentral:rRNA from 1 species